CAUGCCUCCCUCUGGUUGGUUCCGGUCGUGGGCAUGAGUGAGGGGCGAUGCUUGAUGGCUUUGAUGCCAUCGGUGGGAAUGUGUUUAAGCAUCGGCCUUCCCUCAUGACCACGAUGGUCUACAGUCUUGUGUACGAGUUAGUGACGUCGCUUGUUUGUUUUGAUGCUUGCGUUGGAACUUGCUUAAGCAACCGAUCUGACGAAGUACCCAUGAAUGUCUCCCAUGAUGGUCUACAGUCUUGCGUACGAGUUAGUGACGUCGCUUGUUUGUUUUGAUGCUUGCGUUGGAACUUGCUUAAGCAACCGACCUGACGAAGUACCCAUGAAUGUCACCAAUGAUGGUCUACAGUCUAGCGUACGAGUUAGUGACGUCGCUUGUUUGUUUUGAUGCUUGCGUUGGAACUUGCUUAAGCAACCGAACUGACGAAGUACCCAUGAAUGUCGCCCAUGAUGGUCUACAGUCUUGGGUAUGAGUCAGUGACGAUGCUUGUUUGUUUUGAUGCUUGCGUUUGAACUUGCUUAAGCAACCGACCUGACGAAUUACCCAUGAAUGUCGCCCAUGAUGGUCUACAGUCUUGGGUAUGAGUCACUGCCAUGCUUGUUUGUUUUGAUGCUUGCUUUGAACUUGCUUAAGCAACCGACCUGACGAACUACCCAUGAAUGUCUCCCAUGAUGGUCUACAGUCUUGCGUACGACUCAGUGACGACGU
rnacentral:misc_RNA from 1 species